AGAGUUUGAUCCUGGCUCAGGACGAACGCUGGCGGCGCGCCUAACACAUGCAAGUCGAACGGAGCUGAGAGGAGCUUGCUUUUCUUAGCUUAGUGGCGAACGGGUGAGUAACGCGUGAGUAACCUGCCCUGGAGUGGGGGACAACAGUUGGAAACGACUGCUAAUACCGCAUAAGCCCACGAUCCGGCAUCGGAUUGAGGGAAAAGGAUUUAUUCGCUUCAGGAUGGACUCGCGUCCAAUUAGCUAGUUGGUGAGGUAACGGCCCACCAAGGCGACGAUUGGUAGCCGGACUGAGAGGUUGAACGGCCACAUUGGGACUGAGACACGGCCCAGACUCCUACGGGAGGCAGCAGUGGGGGAUAUUGCACAAUGGGGGAAACCCUGAUGCAGCGACGCCGCGUGGAGGAAGAAGGUUUUCGGAUUGUAAACUCCUGUCGUUAGGGACGAUAAUGACGGUACCUAACAAGAAAGCACCGGCUAACUACGUGCCAGCAGCCGCGGUAAAACGUAGGGUGCAAGCGUUGUCCGGAAUUACUGGGUGUAAAGGGAGCGCAGGCGGACCGGCAAGUUGGAAGUGAAAACUAUGGGCUCAACCCAUAAAUUGCUUUCAAAACUGCUGGCCUUGAGUAGUGCAGAGGUAGGUGGAAUUCCCGGUGUAGCGGUGGAAUGCGUAGAUAUCGGGAGGAACACCAGUGGCGAAGGCGGCCUACUGGGCACCAACUGACGCUGAGGCUCGAAAGUGUGGGUAGCAAACAGGAUUAGAUACCCUGGUAGUCCACACCGUAAACGAUGAUUACUAGGUGUUGGAGGAUUGACCCCUUCAGUGCCGCAGUUAACACAAUAAGUAAUCCACCUGGGGAGUACGACCGCAAGGUUGAAACUCAAAGGAAUUGACGGGGGCCCGCACAAGCAGUGGAGUAU
rnacentral:rRNA from 1 species